GUGGGGAAUAUUCCGCAAUGGACGAAAGUCUGACGGAGCAACGCCGCGUGAGUGAUGAAGGUUUUCGGACUGUAAAGCUCUGUUGUUUAGGACGAAAGUGCCUGUUGCAAAUAGUUACAGGUAUUGACGGUACUGAACGAGGAAGCCACGGCUAACUACGUGCCAGCAGCCGCGGUAAUACGUAGGUGGCAAGCGUUGUCCGGAAUUAUUGGGCGUAAAGAGCAUGUAGGCGGGACUCUAAGUCUGUUGUGAAAAUGCGGGGCUCAACCCCGUAUGGCGAUGGAAACUGGGUUUCUUGAGUGCAGGAGAGGAAAGGGGAAUUCCCAGUGUAGCGGUGAAAUGCGUAGAUAUUGGGAGGAACACCAGUGGCGAAGGCGCCUUUCUGGACUGUGUCUGACGCUGAGAUGCGAAAGCCAGGGUAGCGAACGGGAUUAGAAACCCUGGUAGUCC
rnacentral:rRNA from 1 species